CAGCUCCUCAAGACCAACAUCACCACACUCGGCCCGCUCGUCCUACCCAUGUCAGAGCAGCUCCGUUUCCUCACCACCGUCGUGCUCAAGAAGGUCUUCCGCGCCCACAUGAAGGUGUACUUGCCAGACUUCAAGCUCGCGCUCAAGCACUUCUGCAUCCACACCGUCGGCAGGGGUGUCCCCGACAAGCUCGAGCACAACCUCAAGCUCAACCCCUGGCACAUUGAGCCUUCACGAAUGACGCUCUACAGGUUUCGGCAACACCUCCAGCGGCUCGCUCUGGUACGAGGCUACGAGCUCGCCUACUGCGAGUCCAAUGGAUGGAUCAAGAAGGGAUACCGCGUCUAG
rnacentral:rRNA from 1 species